rnacentral:rRNA from 1 species
AGAGUUUGAUCCUGGCUCAGAUUGAACGCUGGCGGCAGGCCUAACACAUGCAAGUCGGGCGGUAACAGAGAGAAGCUUGCUUCUCUGCUGACGAGCGGCGGACGGGUGAGUAAUGUAUGGGGAUCUGCCUGAUGGCGGGGGAUAACUACUGGAAACGGUAGCUAAUACCGCAUACGCCCUACGGGGGAAAGCAGGGGACCUUCGGGCCUUGCGCGAUUGGAUAUGCCCAGGUGGGAUUAGCUAGUUGGUGAGGUAAUGGCUCACCAAGGCGACGAUCCCUAGCUGGUCUGAGAGGAUGAUCAGCCACACUGGAACUGAGACACGGUCCAGACUCCUACGGGAGGCAGCAGUGGGGAAUAUUGCACAAUGGGCGCAAGCCUGAUGCAGCCAUGCCGCGUGUAUGAAGAAGGCCUUCGGGUUGUAAAGUACUUUCAGUCGGGAGGAAGGUGUCAAGGUUAAUAACCUUGGCAAUUGACGUUACCGACAGAAGAAGCACCGGCUAACUCCGUGCCAGCAGCCGCGGUAAUUC